rnacentral:rRNA from 1 species
AACGAACGCUGGCGGCAUGCCUAACACAUGCAAGUCGAACUAGACCUUCGGGUCUAGUGGCGCACGGGUGCGUAACGCGUGGGAACCUGCCCUUAGGUUCGGAAUAACUCCCCGAAAGGGGUGCUAAUACCGGUUAAUGUCUUCGGACCAAAGAUUUAUCGCCUUUGGAUGGGCCCGCGUUGGAUUCGCUAGUUGGUAGGGUACAAGCCUACCAAGGCGACGAUCCAUAGCUGGUCUGAGAGGAUGAUCAGCCACACUGGGACUGAGACACGGCCCAGACUCCUACGGGAGGCAGCAGUGGGGAAUAUUGGACAAUGGGCGAAAGCCUGAUCCAGCAAUGCCGCGUGAGUGAUGAAGGCCUUAGGGUUGUAAAGCUCUUUUACCCGGGAUGAUAAUGACAGUACCGGGAGAAUAAGCUCCGGCUAACUCCGUG